rnacentral:rRNA from 1 species
CUGAAAGCAUCUAAGCAUGAAGCCCCCCUCAAGAUGAGAUUUCCCAACUUCGGUUAUAAGAUCCCUCGAAGAUGACGAGGUUAAUAGGUUCGAGGUGGAAGCGUGGUGACACGUGGAGCUGACGAAUACUAAUCGAUCGAAGACUUAAUCAA